CACGUAGGGCGCAAGCGUUGUCCGGAAUUAUUGGGCGUAAAGAGCUCGUAGGCGGUCUGUUGCGUCCGCUGUGAAAACUCGGGGCUUAACCCCGAGCCUGCAGUGGAUACGGGCAGACUAGAGGUAGGUAGGGGAGAAUGGAAUUCCCGGUGUAGCGGUGAAAUGCGCAGAUAUCAGGAGGAACACCGGUGGCGAAGGCGGUUCUCUGGGCCUGUACUGACGCUGAGGAACGAAAGCGUGGGGAGCGAACAGG
rnacentral:rRNA from 1 species